rnacentral:lncRNA from 10 species
AACAGAACUUAGCCUGGAGCGUGUGUAACGUAAGUCAGCAGGUCUGAACCUUAGACUGUCUGGACCACCUCCUCAUCGCAGAGGUGGCGAUGCUGGGCCUGCCCUGCUCACACGGCUGAAGAGUAUCACUGGGAAGGAAGUGGGCUCGUGAGAUAAUCCAAUCCAGUGCUUCCCAGCCUUUAAUGAGAAAUGGUAAACCAGUGUGAGGAAGAGCACGGAUUCUGGAGUCAGACGGCCGUCCAGUGAUGGAAUUCUGGCUCUGCCACUAUCAGCUGUGAGUUGAGCAAGCGCCCUGAAAACUCUGUGACGUGGAAAUUACAACACGUGAGCACAGAGAACAGCACAGAGUGCAUUCCACAAAUGGUGGCUCUUGGCUGACCCAGACCCAGUGAGAGGCAGCUCUGCCCUGGCCCCAGGCUUUACAGGGCCCCAAUCCAGCCCCUACCCACUGGGGUGAGGACGUCACCUGGAGCUCAUGUGUCUUUCUGUAGACCACAUUCCAGGUCAUGAUGAAGGUAUAUUUGCAAAGGCAGGAGGAUAUGGACAUAUUUAUCAGUUUGGUGAGCAACUUUUAAAUAUUUAAACCUAUGGUGCGUGGGCCUCCAUGUGCGCUCUUGCCUGGGGCCCCGCAAAUGUUAGGGGCACAACUGACUGCUACAAUUGUAUAUGUUUUUCAUUGCAUCAGCCACUCUAUGGAAGAUCCCAUAUUCUACCACGUUGAAUAUCUGCUCUUUCCCAAGAGUCAUAUUUACAUGGCUU